rnacentral:rRNA from 1 species
CCUACGGGCGGCAGCAGUGAGGAAUAUUGGUCAAUGGACGAGAGUCUGAACCAGCCAAGUAGCGUGAAGGAUGACUGCCCUAUGGGUUGUAAACUUCUUUUAUAAAGGAAUAAAACGAGGCACGUGUGCCUUUUUGCAUGUACUUUAUGAAUAAGGAUCGGCUAACUCCGUGCCAGCAGCCGCGGUAAUACGGAGGAUCCGAGCGUUAUCCGGAUUUAUUGGGUUUAAAGGGAGCGUAGAUGGGUUGUUAAGUCAGUUGUGAAAGGUUGCGGCUCAACCGUAAAAGUGCAAUUGAUACUGGCAGUCUUGAGUACAGUUGAGGUAGGCGGAAUUCGUGGUGUAGCGGUGAAAUGCUUAGAUAUCACGAAGAACCCCGAUUGCGAAGGCAGCUUACUAAACUGUGACUGACAUUGAUGCUCGAAAGUGUGGGUAUCAAACAGGAUUAGAUACCCGGGUAGUC